GAAUUUUCCACAAUGGACGAAAGUCUGAUGGAGCAAUGCCGCGUGAGUGAAGAAGGCUUUCGGAUCGUAAAACUCUGUUGUGAGGGAAGAACAAGUAUGAGAGUAACUGCUCGUACCUUGACGGUACCUCAUUAGAAAGCCACGGCCAAUUUCGGUCCAGCAGCCGCGUUAAUACGUAGGUGGCAAGCGUUGUCCGGAAUUAUUGAGCGUAAAGCGCGCGCAGGCGGUCCUUUAAGUCUGAUGUGAAAUACCACGGCUCAACCGUGGAAGGUCAUUGGAAACUGGGGGACUUGAGUACAGAAGAGUAAAGCGGAAUUCCAAGUGUAGCGGUGAAAUGCGUAGAGAUUUGGAGGAACACCAGUGGCGAAGGCGGCUUUCUGGUCUGUAACUGACGCUGAGGCGCGAAAGCGUGGGGAGCAAACA
rnacentral:rRNA from 1 species